UCCAAAGGGCCUCCUUUCCCGUCAGCCUCUGCAGCUGCCUCUUCCUCCUCCUGCUCAGAAAAACCGGAAACCCCAGAGCAGUGCCAGGGUGGGCCACGCCGUGGGUGAAUUUCAACCCAGGGCCCUGUGCCACCCUGUCACCUCCAGGCUGUGGAUGAGACCCUGGGCAUUGAUGCAGCUUGUGGUGACCACAGUCGCUUCUAGGUGUGCCUCCCUGAGACUCAAACGCCUGUAUUCUGAGUCAUUUGGGGUGCUGACGAGAGCGGCAGGGGGCCUGCCGGAGCACGUACAAGAAUCCCCAAGGAAAAGGAAAUGUUGCAACCAGGGUCUCACUGUGUUACCCAGGCUGGUCUCAAACUCCUG